AGCCCUGGUUUACUCACAUCCAUCCAGUAUUUAAGACACAGUACCACAGAUACCAGUAAUUACAGACUGGGACAAGAACAUCUGUGCAAGGAUGAAGACAUUACACGCAAUGCUACUCAUGCUGUUUGUCGCAUCAGUCUUUUCAAAACCAUUUCAUUCACGCAGAAGAUUUGGUUCGUCACACUCUGAGCGGUCUAGAUUCAGUUCAGAGGAAAGUGAUUCACGCAGAGAAGACAGGGAGGAUUCUGAAUCCAACGAGUCUAAAUCAAGUGAAUCUGAAUCUUCGGAGGAAGACAUCAGAGUGGUCUCGAGCGCA